AUUGAACGCUGGCGGCAGGCCUAACACAUGCAAGUCGAACGGUAACAGGAAGACGCUUGCUUCUUUGCUGAUGAGUGGCGGACGGGUGAGUAAUGUCUGGGAAGCUGCCUGAUGGAGGGGGAUAACUACUGGAAACGGUAGCUAAUACCGCAUAACGUCGCAAGACCAAAAAGGGGGACCUUCGGGCCUCUUGCCAUCGGAUGUGCCCAGAUGGGAUUAGCUAGUAGGUGGGGUAACGGCUCACCUAGGCGACGAUCCCUAGCUGGUCUGAGAGGAUGACCAGCCACACUGGAACUGAGACACGGUCCAGACUCCUACGGGAGGCAGCAGUGGGGAAUAUUGGACAAUGGGCGCAAGCCUGAUGCAGCCAUGCCGCGUGUAUGAAGAAGGCCUUCGGGUUGUAAAGUACUUUCAGCGGGGAGGAAGGGAGUAAAGUUAAUACCGUUGCUCAUUGACGUUACCCGCAGAAGAAGCACCGGCUAACUCCGUG
rnacentral:rRNA from 1 species